UACGGAGGGUGCAAGCGUUAUCCGGAUUCACUGGGUUUAAAGGGUGCGUAGGUGGGCAGGUAAGUCAGUGGUGAAAUCUUUGGGCUUAACCCGAAAACUGCCAUUGAUACUAUUUGUCUUGAAUAUUGUGGAGGUCAGCGGAAUAUGUCAUGUAGCGGUGAAAUGCUUAGAUAUGACAUAGAACACCUAUUGCGAAGGCAGCUUACUACGCAGAUAUUGACGCUCAUGCACGAAAGCGUGGGGAUCAAACAGG
rnacentral:rRNA from 1 species